rnacentral:miRNA from 1 species
GGGUUGAGUGGGUGAUUGCU